GCGGUGCGCCUUAUGCAUGCAAGUCGAGCGAAGCUUUUCAGUAGUUUACUACAGAAAAUGACUGAGCGGCGAACGGGUGAGUAACGCGUGAGCAAUCUACCUUAGUUACUGGGAUAGCCCGAGGAAACUCGGAUUAAUACCGGAUACUCUUAUUUAAUCACAUGAUUUUUUAAGGAAAGGUCAGCCGAACUAAGAUGAGCUCGCGUUCUAUCAGCUAGUUGGUAGGGUAACGGCCUACCAAGGCUACGACGGAUAGCUGGUCUGAGAGGACGAUCAGCCACACUGGGACUGAGACACGGCCCAGACUCCUACGGGAGGCUGCAGCAGGGAAUAUUGUGCAAUGAACGAAAGUUUGACACAGCGACACCGCGUGUGGGAUGACGGAUCUAGGUUUGUAAACCACUUUCAGGAGGGAAGAAAAUGACGGUACCUCCACAAGAAGCCCCGGCCAACUACGUGCCAGCAGCCGCGGUAAUACGUAGGGGGCGAGCGUUGUCCGGAUUUAUUGGGCGUAAAGAGCUCGUAGGCGGUUCAACAAGUCGGUCGUGAAAGUUCAGGGCUCAACCCUGAAAUGUCGAUCGAUACUGUUGUGACUAGGAUACGGCAGAGGUGAGUGGAAUUCCGAGUGUAGCGGUGAAUGCGUAGAUAUUCGGAGGAACACCAAUUGCGAAGGCAGCUCACUGGGCCGCUAUCGACGCUGAGGAGC
rnacentral:rRNA from 1 species